rnacentral:rRNA from 1 species
GUGUUCUUACGGGGCGCAGCAGUGAGGAAUAUUGGUCAAUGGGCGCGAGCCUGAACCAGCCAAGUCGCGUGAGGGAAGACGGUCCUAUGGAUUGUAAACCUCUUUUGUCGGGGAGCAAAAGACGCCACGUGUGGCGUUCCGAGAGUACCCGAAGAAAAAGCAUCGGCUAACUCCGUGCCAGUAGCCGGGGUAAUACGGAGGAUGCGAGCGUUAUCCGGAUUUAUUGGGUUUAAAGGGUGCGCAGGCGGAAGAUCAAGUCAGCGGUAAAAUUGAGAGCCUCAACCUCUUCGAGCCGUUGAAACUGG